UGGCUCAGUUGGUAGAGCAAGGUGUUUACAAUGCCAGGGUUGUGGGUUCGAUUCCCAU
rnacentral:tRNA from 1 species